UAGGGAAUCUUCCACAAUGGACGCAAGUCUGAUGGAGCAACGCCGCGUGAGUGAAGAAGGUUUUCGGAUCGUAAAGCUCUGUUGUUGGUGAAGAAGGAUAGAGGUAGUAACUGGCCUUUAUUUGACGGUAAUCAACCAGAAAGUCACGGCUAACUACGUGCCAGCAGCCGCGGUAAUACGUAGGAGGCAAGCGUUGUCCGGAUUUAUUGGGCGUAAAGCGAGCGCAGGCGGAAGAAUAAGUCUGAUGUGAAAGCCCUCGGCUUAACCGAGGAACUGCAUCGGAAACUGUUUUUCUUGAGUGCAGAAGAGGAGAGUGGAAUUCCAUGUGUAGCGGUGGAAUGCGUAGAUAUAUGGAAGAACACCAGUGGCGAAGGCGACUCUCUGGUCUGCAACUGACGCUGAGGCUCGAAAGCAUGGGUAGCGAACAGG
rnacentral:rRNA from 1 species